rnacentral:tRNA from 1 species
AUUAAAGUGGCAGAGUCUGGUAAAUGCAAAAGGCCUAAAACCUUUACCUCGAGAGUUCAAAUCCCUCCUUUAAU